rnacentral:misc_RNA from 1 species
UCGAUUGUAUGACUGAUUCCGAUUCACGUGAUUACGUCACUCGGGCCAAGCGAAGCAAGCGGAGGGAGAUGUGCGAGAUUCGUAGUGUUAAAAUUAAUACGUCAUCUCUUAUUCAAAAGUGCUAUCUGUAAAUUAUAAUUCGUGGUGCCGCUUAAAAAUUAAUAAUAAAACAGCAUAAUGCCGGCGGCGCGAGGCGUUAAACGUGCUGCAUCUAAAUCAUCUGCCGCUACAGCGGCAACGGGAGCCAAAAACAAGAAAAAACGUGGAGCGAUUCAAUGGGAGAUCCCAUCAGCGCCCAAGAGGAGGGGGCGCGUGCUGGCCUGCGGGCAGGGAGAUGUUGGCCAGCUCGGCCUUGGGGAAGAUGUCAUCGAGGCCACCAAAUUCAAAUACGUCACAGCUUUGGGUGACAAAAUAGUUGAUGUGUAUGCGGGGGGCAUGCAUACUAUCGCUCUUGACAGCAAUGGGAAGGUGUGGACAUUCGGGUGCAACGACGAGGGAGCCCUGGGCCGGCCCACGUCGGGCGAGGGCGAGGAGGGCACGCCGGCUACCGUGGCGCUGCCCGCCGCCGCCGUCUGCGUCGCGGCCGGGGACUCACACUCCGCCGCGUUACUCGACAACGGAGAUGUCUACGCUUGGGGGGCUUUUAGGGACUCUCACGGCAGCAUGGGGCUGGUGGUGCGAGGCCGGGAAGGCAAGUCGUGCCGCGAGCCCGUCAAGCUCGACCUCGCCGAGCCCGCCGUCGCCAUCGCGUCCGGCGGCGACCAUCUCGUUAUACUCUCCUCGUCCGGCGGCGUGUACACGAUGGGUUGCGGCGAGCAGGGGCAGCUCGGGCGCCUGUCUCAACGCUCAGCCUCCAGGGACGCCAGGCAGGGCUUCAGUGCCCUGCUAGUUCCAUCUAAAGUGACUCUAAAGGCGGGCGGGUCCCGCAUCUGGGCGGGCUACCACGCUACCUUCGUACUGGACACCAAUGACAAGAUGUUUGCUUGGGGACUCAAUAACUAUGGACAACUUGGUAUAACAGGCGAGAAACGCAAGACAGCGAUAUUCACCCCCACAGAAUGCGAUGCGUUCACCCGCCUCAACACCGAGUGGCGCAGUGUGGCCGCCGGACAACACCACUCCCUAGCGCUGGACACUGCCGGACAGCUGUAUGCUAUCGGACGCUGCGAGUACGGCAGGUUGGGUCUAGGCGACCGAGCAGGUGAUGCAGAAGUGUUGGAGCCGAUCCCCAAGCUACAGAACAAGAAGGUCAUUUGUAUAGCUGCCGGUACCAGCAACUCUUUUGCUGUCACUGAUACCGGCGAGGUGUUCUCGUGGGGCAUGGGGUCGGAGGGCCAGCUGGGCACGGGCGGCAGCGCCGACGCGGCCGAGCCCGCCGCCGCCGUCACGCCGCCGCUGCACGCGCGGACUCCCGUGCACAUCUCCGCCGGCGGACAGCACACCGUGCUCAGAGUGGAGGACCCAGCAUCCCAAAAGGAAGACUCCCCGCCCCCAGAGAGCGAGACUUCAGAACAGAAACCGGAACCUGUGUCUCAAGAUGAGGAGGAACCUGAAACGCCAGCCAAGCGAGCUCGCACCGAACAGGAAGAGGAAAUAUCCUCGACGUCCAGUGCACAGCCCGCUGAAGUUAAUGAUGCUAAACCACAGGCUAAAAAGAAAAAGCGUGUCCCCGCGUCAGUUUCGUCGUCCAGCAACAAAACUACAAGAAAAAAGGCACGGCGGAAUUAGAAGGUGAAUGGUGAUGAAAAGAAGGAGACGCCUAUGGAAGUUGAUGAAACUGACAACAAACAAGAACAGAAAGAUGAGACAGAAACAAAAUCAGCAGACGAACAAACAGACACCGACCAGAC